UGGGGAAUAUUGGACAAUGGGCGCAAGCCUGAUCCAGCAAUACCGCGUGUGUGAAGAAGGCCUUAGGGUUGUAAAGCACUUUCAAUUGGGAGGAAAACCUGCCGGUCAAUACCCGGUAGCUUGACAUUACCUUUAGAAGAAGCACCGGCUAACUCCGUG
rnacentral:rRNA from 1 species